GACGGAGGAUGCAAGUGUUAUCCGGAAUCACUGGGCGUAAAGCGUCCGUAGGUGGUUUAAUAAGUCAACUGUUAAAUCUUGAGGCUCAACCUCAAAAUCGCAGUCGAAACUAUUAGGCUAGAGUAUAGUAGGGGUAAAGGGAAUUUCCAGUGGAGCGGUGAAAUGCGUAGAGAUUGGAAAGAACACCGAUGGCGAAGGCACUUUACUGGGCUAUUACUAACACUCAGAGACGAAAGCUAGGGUAGCAAACGGG
rnacentral:rRNA from 1 species